GACGAACGCUGGCGGCGUGCUUAACACAUGCAAGUCGAGCGGAAAGGCCCUUCGGGGUACUCGAGCGGCGAACGGGUGAGUAACACGUGAGUAACCUGCCCCAGACUUUGGGAUAACCCUCGGAAACGGGGGCUAAUACCGGAUACGACACAGCUUCGCAUGGGGUCUGUGUGGAAAGUUUUUCGGUUUGGGAUGGGCUCGCGGCCUAUCAGCUUGUUGGUGGGGUGAUGGCCUACCAAGGCGACGACGGGUAGCCGGCCUGAGAGGGCGACCGGCCACACUGGGACUGAGACACGGCCCAGACUCCUACGGGAGGCAGCAGUGGGGAAUAUUGCACAAUGGGCGGAAGCCUGAUGCAGCGACGCCGCGUGAGGGAUGACGGCCUUCGGGUUGUAAACCUCUUUCAGCAGGGACGAAGCGUAAGUGACGGGACCUGCAGAAGAAGCGCCGGCCAACUACGU
rnacentral:rRNA from 1 species